GUGAGGGUGUUGCCAGAGGAGAUUGACUUUGAGUCAGUGGCCUGGGAGAGGAAGGCCCUCCCUCGUUGUAGGUGGGCACCAUCCAAUCAGCUGCCAGUGUGGUUAGAAAAAAAGAGGCAGAAGAAAGUGGGAUAACUUUGCUUGCUGAGUCUUCUGGCUCUGUUUUUCUUUUUUCCAUGCUGGACACUUGCUUCCAUUCCUCCUACCCAUGGACAUCGGGCUCCAAAUUCUUCAGCCUUUGGACUCUGGGACUUGCACCAGCAGCUUCCAGGGGGCCCUCGGGCCUUUGGCCACAGACCGAAGGCUGCACUGUUGACUUCCCUGAUCUUGAGGCUUUUGGACUUGGAGCCAUUUCUUGCUUCUCUCUUCCCCAACUUGCAGAUGGCCUAUCAUGGGAUUUUGCCUUGGAAUCAUGGCCAGUCUGAAAGUUGAUUGCCUGUAUCAGCUCUACCAAAUUACUAGGCCUUCCAUAUUCUCCCACGACUCAAGACCAACAAAUUUCAUAUGCCAUUUUUCAUGGACUCUAGCAGCGAUUGUUUCUGGCUAAAAGGAAAGGAGGCUGUGGGAUCUUCUUUGUGUAGGUCAUGAUCUAUUCAGGCCCCAAGCACACGUUGGGUUGGUGCCCUUAUAAGAAGAGGAAGGGACAACACGGAUUUCUCUCUCUGCCAUAUGAGGACACAGUGAGAAGGUGGCCAUCUGGAAGCCAAGAAGAGAGCCCUCACCAGAAGCUGAGCUCUGCUGGAACCUUGAUCUUGGAAUUUCUAGCCUUUAGAGCUGAGAGAAAAUACAUUUCUGUUGUUUAAUUCAUUCAAUUCAGUCUAUGGUAUUUUGUUACAGCAUCCUGAACAGACUAAUACAGAUUUUGGUACUGAGAAGUGAAGCUCUGCUGUAACAAAAACUUAAAGUGUGGAAGUAGUUUUGGAACGGAGCAGUGGGUAGAAACUAGAGGAGUUUUAAGGUGCAUGCUGGAAAAGACCAAGAUUGCUGAGAAAAGAACUGUUCGUGGAAAUAUGGAAGUAAAGGGUGAUUCUAUUGAGAGCUUAGGAAGAAAGGCAGAGAGCUAUAGAGAAAGCCUCCAACUUCCUAGAGAAUACAUAAAUAAUCAUAAACAGAAUGGUAGAAAUAUGGAUGUUACAGGCCAUUCUGGUGGCCAUUCCAUCUUUAUCAAAUGGAAAUACGGAACAGAUUAUUGGAAACCGAUUUAUUGUUAUAAAGUAACAGAACUUGGCUUGAACUGUGUUACAGUGUUUUGUGGAAGGUAGAACUUGUGAGUGAUGAACUUGGAUAGCUUGCUAAGGAGAUUUCUAAGCAAAGUGUUAAUGGAGUGGCUUGGUUCCUCCUCACUCCUUAGAGUAAAAUGUGAAAGGAGAGAGAUAAGGAAUUGUUAACAAAAGAGGAAACAGGACUUGAAGAUCUGGGAACUUUUGAGCCUAUUCAUAUUGCAAAAAUUGAGAAACAUAUUCUGAAGAGAACACCAAGGCAGUGGCUAGGCUAGACUAUUACUUGAUAAAAAAUUUAUGAAAUGAUAUAGGCAGAAACACCACCAGUCUGAACUAAAGAGGAUGGUAAUGAGACAAAAUGAAGAAAGGUUGUCAGAUUUCUUGCAUUGACUGGAUAGGAUGACCAAGCCAUUUGGCUGUGAGUGUGCGCUACUCUUCAAAAUGAAGAAAAAAUGACUCUGAAAAUGAUUCAGAGAUGACCAGAGCCACCAUUUUGGUUUUAUCAGGCUGGGCAGCUUCUAUCUGAAGCCAUGGUGGGAGGGGUUCACUCUGCAGAGGUAUAGGGGUGAGACCAAUCAGCAAAGCCUUGAGGGCUGCACUCCUGCCUAGAGCUGUGGAGGUGACACUGCUGCCACAGUGGGUCUGGGAAGCUGAGUAUCAAACCAAAGAGGAUUAUUCUCAAGCCUCAGAAUUUGCCUUGCUAGGUUUUGGAGUUGCUUGGGACCCAUUACCCCUUUCAUUUUUCUAAUUUAUCACUUUUGGAAUGAUAAUGUCUAUCUUAUGUUUGUCCCAUUAUUGCAUUUUGGAAGAAGAUAACUUGUCUGCUUUCACAGGUUCACAGAUGCAGAUAAAUUUUGGCUAGGGAUGAACCAUUCCUUGAGUCUCAAUCCAUAUCUGAUUUAGAUGAUAUUUAACUGAGACUUUGUAUUUUAGAAUUGGUGCUGGAGUGAGUUAAGACUUUGGGGGCUAUUGGGAUAUGAUGAAUAUGUUUUGCAUGCAAAAGGACAUGAAGUUUUGUGGACUAGGAGAGGAAUGUUAUGGACUAAAUUGCAUACUACACAAAUUUAUAUGUUGAUACUCUAACCACCAAGGUGGCUAUAUUUGAGGAUACGUCCUGUGAGGAGGUGAUAAGUGUUAAAUAAAGUCAUAAGGGUGGGGUCAUAAUCUUCUAGAGUCGGUGCUCUAGCAGAUUACAGAGAGGAAGAGGAAGAGAAACCACAGUUCUUUCUCUGUGCCAUACAGUGAGAAGGUGCGUGUCUGCAAGCCAGGGAGACAGCACUCACCAGACUGAC
rnacentral:lncRNA from 10 species